GCACAUCUGCUGGUGGGUUCAACAAAAGGGGCUCCCUUUAAAGAAGAAGACUGAGAAGCUGGAAUGAAUCCAGAGGAAAGGAUGAAAAGCACUCGUUUGAUUACUGAGAGGAUAGCUGGAGAAGUGAAGAAUAAUGUGAUGUUCAGCUCAAACUCCUUGGGGGAAUUCGGUUGUGAAAAUGGAAUUACCCAAGUUGGAUUCCGCCCAGGAUGCCAAGCUUAAGUUAUUGGAAAAUAUUCCAGGUGCUGAGGAUAUAGAAGAAAACAGACAAAAAUCCCUGCCCUCAUGGAAUUUACAUUCCAAAGGGAGAAAGGUAAGAGAAUUUAAAAAGUAAAAUAUAUGAUAUGGAAAUGAUGAUAAAUGUCAUAUAGAAAAAUAAAACAAAGAAGGGUGCUAGGAAAUGCUGGUGAGAGUUGAGGAGGGGAAGGUAGCUCUUUUAAAUGUGGUGACCUGGUAAAGAUCUCACUUCAAACUGAUCUGGGGCCAGGUGCAGCGGCUCAUGCCUAUAAUCCCAGCACUUUGAGAGGUGUAGGCUAGAGGAUCGCUUGGGUUCAGGAAUUUGAGACAUAGCGAGAGCCUAUCUGUAUUUAAAACAACAAACACAAACUGAUCCAGAGGACAUUGCAUCAGACAGAUUAUAUUGUUAUCAUUUCACAGAUUAGGAAACUGAAGCUUAGAAUAUGAAAUCUUUUUCUUAGGAAAAGAUCUGUUUUCAGCUAUUCAUAUGUUAGAGUCUAUCUCUUCCCUAAGUAUUUGCAUGGCACUUGUUCUUUAGCAGUAGAAUGCAAAGCAAUUUGUACACGGUUAAGGAAUUUUAACACCAAAAGUUGUGCUGAAGGUCUGAGAGAAGAGGAGAGCUUUCAUCUCUUGGGACUCCUACAAUCACAAUGCCUUGGUUGGUGGGUCCUGCGUAUCUAGUCUUCCUCUUGACCUAGAACAAACCACUUCUGAUGCUAGGCAGGGCUCUGUGGCCACAGAACAGCUUUAUGUUGUAGUUUUCUCAGCCAAUUUUUAAUUAGACUUUGUUUUUGUUUUAGCAGUUUUAGGUGCACAACAACAUUGAACAGGAAGUACAGAGUGUUCCCACAAACCCCCUACCCUCACACCAUACAAUCUCCCCAACUAAUGACAUAUUGCCAGAACAGACUUAUUUACAAGGUUAACUUUUUCCCUGUCCUGCCCCUUUCUCACAGAUCAAAUCCGGGCUACAGAUUCCGUUGGUAUUGCUCUUUGGGUCCUGAGUCCCCCAUUGCCUACCUGGGCUGCCCAGGCUGUCAGGGGCCUGCCAUUCUCUCCUUGCAGAUGCACAGUACCUGCAGAGGAUGUACAACGGUGAGCAGGGCAAAUGGGCAAACAGAUGUCAUGGCUCCACAGUACUCGGGGCUGCAAGCUGUGUGGCUGAGGGCUGUUCCUGCCUCGUCCUGUCAACUCAGAGAACCUUCUCCCAGCCAAAGUUAUAAAUUCUUUUCUAGGAAUUUCUCAGCCCUGGAUUUCCCCUUUUGCUUUUUAGUUUCUCAUCCUGAGUUGGCUCAGUCUCUUCUUCAGACUUGCCUAAAAACUCCCCUUUUAGUGUUGAGCCUUGAAUAAAUUUUUGUCUGCUGCCACGGCUGAGUCACUGCCUAGGUGCUGUGUCCAUACUGUCUCUAGAAGGCUGCCUGGCCCUGGGGCUGAGAGGAAGCAGCGUCCAGCCAGACACCCACACUUUCAGACAGAGCCGCUUCUGAGAAGCAGUGGGGGCCCUAGAUUGGAUUUGGAUGGACGGACUGACAACAGAAAGGGCAUUUCUAUGAAUAUCCCAAUACUCUGUGUGCCCCGUCUGAUCAAAGUACAUAAAUAGAAAAUCCUGAAAUAGCAUACUGUAAGAAUUUGGACUUCACUUAACCCAAGUAAAUACAAGGAAGAUUUUUGUCUAAGACCCUCUCCACAAAGACAACUUGAGAGCCAGGUAAAUGGCUACAUCUGAACAAAAUAUUCAUAGCAGAUUUCAGAUUGUUUUCCUUCAGGUCCAAUUCCUGGAGGCUGAGUAGGCUGAACACAGCAUGAGGAAUACGC
rnacentral:lncRNA from 1 species